CCAGAAGUAGCUUUGAGGUUAACGUGUAACUUAUACACGUGUCUGAGUGCGAAUCCAUCAUCCGGGCUUUCGUGCAGUUUCUUGAUGCUCCAGCUUCCUCCCGCAGCCAUAGAUGUGGUUACUCGGUCAUUCCUGUAGGUGUGAACGUGACUGCGAUUGGUUGUCCAGUUAUAGACUGGCGACCGGCCCACAGUCCAGACCGUAACCUUUAUGGGACACGUGGUCUCCCGCAAAGGUUACCGACUUUAAAAUAUUCACACAGUUUGAAUUGAUUUAUUUGUAAAUGAAUAAAUGUCUGUAUUUGCAGAGCGGGUGAGUCAUCUUCGCAAGCACACAUGAUCUGUAGCAUUGUGGUACUAAGCUCCACGUGUUCCGACAAACAGCAAAAGGAGUCCAGGCAGAAAGUGCUGAAGAGGCACAUUGUUCCGCCUUCCUCACGCCAGCGCUGCUCUCAGGAGCUUUUCGGAGCCUUCGUGUCAGCAUCAACACUUUCCCGAGUUAAAUCUCAGCUCACUUCACUGACAGUAGAAGCCGAGAAGUGUGCUGACGUCAUUGAUCAAUUGUUUGGUUGAAAUGGAGGCCUGUCCCUUCUCUGCCUGUGUGUGGAUGGAAACAGGGUUUCAGUAAAUAUUGUUUCUUUCGAUGGUUGGUAAAUACACCAACACUGGGCUUGAGACCAGUUGGCUGAAUAAUCCAUAAUAAAAUGAGACUGUAAACGGUGACUAACAUCGAACAGGAACUCUGGGCCUGACGUCGGCCUUCAUCCAGCAUGUCUUUAUCCUGUCUUCCUUCUCUCACCCCAACCAAUCACAGCAGAUGGCCCCGCCCCUCCCUGAGCCUGGUUCUGUUGGAGGUUUCUUCCUGUUAAAAGGGAGUUUUUCCUUCCCACUGUCGCCAAAGUGCUUGCUCAUAGGGGGUCAUAUGAUUGUUGGGUUUUUCUCUGUAUUUAUUAUUGUAGGAUCUACUGUACAAUAUAAAGCGCCUUGAGGCGACUGUUGUUGUGAUUUGGCGCUAUUUAAAUAAAAUUGA